rnacentral:lncRNA from 1 species
CUCAAUCCGUCCCACGAUCUGCUCCGAUCUAGUGCCGACCGGACGGCACCUCCGCGUUCAGCACACGUACAACUCGACGAUGAUCUCGGCCUUCUUGAUCCAGCAAGAGAGACGGAGAGGUAGAUGAGUUCUCCGGCAGCGUGACGGCGCUCCGGAGGUUGGUGGUGAUCUAAUCUUAGCAGGGCUCCGCCCGAGCUCCGCAGAAACGCGAUCUAGAGAAAAAACUAUGAACGUAUGUGGUCGGGCUGCUGUGGCAAAGUGUCACUCCCAAGAUGCAACCCUAUCCUCAAUUUGGCAUGAAGGCCUCGUCAGGGAUAGAAGCGCAUCUCGUCGUGUCGCAAGAAUUGAUAUCGUUACAAGUACAUGUACUGAAAAGACGAGAUAUAUAAACAGAGUUGGCUUACACUCGCCACAAGCUACAUCAGAGUCACAUCAGUACAUUACAUAAUCAUCAAGGGUAAGAGCAGGGUCCGACUACGGACGAAAAACAAACGACAAAAGAAGAACGACGUCCAUCCUUGCUAUCCCAGGCUGCCGGCCUGGAACACAUCCUAGAUCGAUGAAGAAGAAGAAGAAGAAGCAACUCCGAAUGAACAAUCGACGCGCUCACGUCGAGUAACAUUUACCUGUACCUGCAACUGGUGUUGUAGUAAUCUGUGAGCCAUAGGGGACUCAGCAAUCUCAUUUCCAAAGGUAUCAAGACUAGCAAAGCUUAAUGGGUGAGGCAAGGUUAAGUGGUGAGGUUGCAGCAGCGGCUAAGCAUGUAUAUGGUGGCUAACUUACGAGUACCAUAAAUAAGAGGGGGAAGAUCUACGCAUAGCGGACGUGAAAUACUGAUGAUCAAGUGAAUGAUCCUGAACACCUACCUACGUCAGACAUAACCCCACCGUGUCCUCGAUCGGAGAAGGAACUCACGAAAGAGACAGUCACGGAAACGCACACAGUUGGCAAGUUUAAUUAAGUUAACUUCAAGUUAUCUAGAACCAGUGUUAAACAAAGCUUCCACGUUGCCACAUAACCGCGGGCACGGCUUUCCGAAAGAUUUAACCCUGCAGGGGUGCUCCAACUAGUCCAUCACAAAUUACCACAAGCCGUAUAGAAAUCCUCAAUCGCGAAGCUCGCGAUCUCGUCGGAUUCUCUAAUGGAAAACCUCAACUCUGAGAUUACCCAAAGCAUCACCGGAAUCCCGAUGCACAAGAUAUCUCGUCAAAGGUAAAACUAAUCCAGCAAGGCCGCCCGACGUGUCGACGAUCCCGAUAGGAGUCGCGUACCUCGUUCUCACGACACGACGGAUGUGUCACACUAGGAGUACCAAACCUCGGGUUGCCCCGCGGUGGUCCCGUAGUCUGCCAAUUUGGACCAACACUCAUGAGGAGCACUGGCCCGGGGGUUGAUUAAAUUAUCCUCGGGGUCCGGAAAGUCCCUAUGCAAUUUUAUUAGGUGUUUAGGCAAAUGUAGUACCAAAGUUGGGCCUUGCCAGACCAGUCUUAAUCAAAAACGAAUUAUCAAGGGGGUCCCCAUAACAACCCCGAUCGUGUUAGGAGCGCUCAAAUAUGGAACAUAACACCGGUAGCCGGAAACUAAGGGGGGGGCAAAGGUGGAACAAAACACCAGGCUAGAAAGGCCGAGCCUUCCACCUUUUACCAGAUAUAUAGGUGCAUUAAAUUAAAUAGCAUUUAAUAUGGUGAUAUAACAAGGAACCCAUGCUUUGCAUGGAAGCAACUGCACCUGCAACUAGCAACGCUAACACAGGGUUAAGCAAGCAGUAACAUAGCCAAUCAGUGGUUUGCUAGGUCGAACAGGUAGAUGGUAAUCAUGGCAUUGUUGAGAGGCUGAAUUUAACAGGUGGUAGGCAACGAGACAUAAACGAUAGAAGCGGUGAACUAGCAUGGCAAUGAUAGUAAUGGUAUCUGGGGAAAUGGUCAUCUUGCCUGAGAUCCCGCUUGGAAGAAGAAUGCCUCCGUGAAGCAGACGAACCGACGUAGUCGAACGGGUCCUCACAAUCCGACACGCUUGCGGAACUCUAUCGAGACGGGGAAACCGGAAACAAGCAUCAACACACGAUAUUCACCACACGAUGCACAACACGUAUGAUGCAUGAGCUACUGAACAAAUGCAUGUCACGGCAUGGCAAUUCACACAGUCAAACACUACACAUUAAGUGAAGUUCAAUAUGCACGAGUUGCAUAUUGACGAAACUCCACGUUAAUUAUUUAGUUCACUCCCGGUUAUUUAUACGACGAUAUUAAUGUUGUCAAACAUGCAAGAGGUGAAGCGGAAAUUAAACUACCUAUCUAGGCAUUUUAAAUGAGGUCGGAAAUGACAUAUAGCAUCUCCGAG